UCCCGCAGGGUGCGCGGGGCCGCCGGGGAGAGCUGGGCGUCCGGCCGUGCUCCGAGGUAGGCGCCCGCUCCCGGCUGCAGGGCGGCUGGCGUCGGGAAGGAGCCGCUGUCUGAGCUGCGCCCCCGCCGCGGAGACCCGCUGUCCUCCCGCUUCCCCGAGAACCCGCGCGAGAGCCCCGGCGCAGCGCGAGGUCCGGCCCCCGCCUCGCCGUGGGCGCAAAGUUCAGAGGACCCCGCGGGAUCCCGCCUAGAGGCUCAGACUCUUCGUUUGUUUCCCGCUGCUCAGCUUAUAGUGACCAAUGCCCAGGGGCCCAAGAGCGGCGUGGGCCCUAGCGCCCGGGCUCGGCGGGGGAACUUGACCCUGGCACGCAGAGAGCAGGACCGCCGGACGCCCGGAGAGACAAGAGCCACCCGGGAGUGGCCUGGAAGGGCAUGUGAUGGGGUAAACUGUACACUCAGAUGAGAUGCCCAUUAUGAGACAUGGAAUCUUCUUUGAAACAAUUGGAUUUAUUUAUUUCAGCUGCGCCAGGUCUUAGUUGCAGCACGUGGGAUCUUCGCUGUGGCAUGUUUAGUCGCAGCAUGCAGACUCUUAGUUGCAGCAUGCAUGUGGGAUCUAGUUUGGCGACCGAGGAUCGAACCGGGUCCCCUGCAUUGGGAGUGCAGUCUUACCCCCUGGACCACCAGGAAGUAGUAUAAAAAGCACUCCGGGGCUUCCCUGGUGGCGCAGUGGUUGAGAAUCUGCCUGCUAAUGCAGGGAACACGGGUUCGAGCCUUGGUCUGGGAGGAUCCCACAUGCCGCGGAGCAACUAGGCCCGUGAGCCACAACUACUGAGCCUGCGCGUCUGGAGCCUGUGCUGCGCAACAAGAGAGGCCGCGAUAGUGAGAGGCCGGCGCACCGCGAUGAAGAGUGGCCCCCGCUUGCCACAGCUAGAGAAAGCCCUCGCACAGAAACGGAGACCCAACACAGCAAAAAUAAAUUAAUUAAUUAAUAAACUCCUACCCCCAACAUCUUAAAAAAAAAGAAAAGCACUCUGUGUCUGAGAGAUCCUGGUGAUUUGACCUUGGACAAAUAACUUAAUUACUUCUAGUCUGUUUCCGUAACUGUAAAUGGAGCCAACAAUACCUGGUAAAGAUAUUACAGGUGUGAGGAUGAGAUGAUAUAUGAGAUCAUGUUUUGUAAACAAUAAAGCAAGGGUAACCAGAAAUUAGUUAUAGAAUACCGGUUAUAUAAUACCAGAAAUUAUUUUAUAUAAUACUCUCCUAACAUUUCCUGCCUAUGUCCCUGUCUGUAAAAUGGGUACAGAUCUAGGUCCAAAAGCCUGUGAACUUGAGCAAGUCAUUUCCCUUCUGGACGUGUGUUUCCUAGCAAGGUUAUUAUUACAUUAUGAACAUCAAAUGAUAUCGUGUAUGUAAAUGCUGUGACAGGCAUAUAUCAAGAACGCAA